UAUGCAUCCAACGCGUUGGGAGCUCUCCCAUAUGGUCGACCUGCAGGCGGCCGCACUAGUGAUUCCUACGGGAGGCAGCAGUGGGGAAUUUUGGACAAUGGGCGCAAGCCUGAUCCAGCAAUGCCGCGUGAGUGAAGAAGGCCUUCGGGUUGUAAAGCUCUUUUGUCAGGGAAGAAACGGUUCCGGCUAAUAUCUGGAGCUAAUGACGGUACCUGAAGAAUAAGCACCGGCUAACUACGUGCCAGCAGCCGCGGUAAUACGUAGGGUGCAAGCGUUAAUCGGAAUUACUGGGCGUAAAGCGUGCGCAGGCGGUUUUGUAAGUCUGUCGUGAAAGCCCCGGGCUCAACCUGGGAAUUGCGAUGGAGACUGCAAGGCUUGAAUCUGGCAGAGGGGGGUAGAAUUCCACGUGUAGCAGUGAAAUGCGUAGAGAUGUGGAGGAACACCGAUGGCGAAGGCAGCCCCCUGGGUCAAGAUUGACGCUCAUGCACGAAAGCGUGGGGAGCAAACAGGAUUAGAUACCCUGGUAGUCCACGCCCUAAACGAUGUCUACUAGUUGUCGGGUUUUAAUUAACUUGGUAACGCAGCUAACGCGUGAAGUAGACCGCCUGGGGAGUACGGUCGCAAGAUUAAAACUCAAAUGAAUUGACGGGGAAUCCCGCGGCCAUGGCGGCCGGGAGCAUGCGACGUCGGGACCAAUUCGCCCUAU
rnacentral:rRNA from 1 species